AUACAAUCCAUCUUGAAGGUUUUAAUCUGUCAUAGAACCCUCUCAAUCUUUCACAAGAAAACUAAAUGGAUCGGUCCAUGAAGGUCUUUGUGGUCGUCUUCCUUCUCCUUGUGGCCACAGGGUUCCAGGGAGCAGUGCAGGUAGCUUUGGCGAGGGAGUGUACGUCACCGAGCCACAAGUUUAAGGGGUUGUGCGUGAGCGACACCAACUGUGCAAGUGUUUGCCUGACAGAGCGUUUCCCCGGAGGCAAGUGCGACGGCAUUCGGCAGCGUUGUUUAUGCACCGAGAAAUGCUAGAUGGCCCUGUUUUCGUCUUGGAUACGUACAUGCUUCCGUGUAAUAUUGAUUGAAUAAUACUAGAUCUGCAUCUAUGCAUGUAUGAUGCAUAUGUGAGUGCUA